GGUGUGACUGCGUACCUUUUGUAUAAUGGGUCAGCGACUUAUAUUCUGUAGCAAGGUUAACCGUAUAGGGGAGCCGCAGGGAAACCGAGUCUUAACUGGGCGUUAAGUUGCAGGGUAUAGACCCGAAACCCGGUGAUCUAGCCAUGGGCAGGUUGAAGGUUGGGUAACACUAACUGGAGGACCGAACCGACUAAUGUUGAAAAAUUAGCGGAUGACUUGUGGCUGGGGGUGAAAGGCCAAUCAAACCGGGAGAUAGCUGGUUCUCCCCGAAAGCUAUUUAGGUAGCGCCUCGUGAACUCAUCUUCGGGGGUAGAGCACUGUUUCGGCUAGGGGGUCAUCCCGACUUACCAACCCGAUGCAAACUACGAAUACCGAAGAAUGUUAUCACGGGAGACACACGGCGGGUGCUAACGUCCGUCGUGAAGAGGGAAACAACCCAGACCGCCAGCUAAGGUCCCAAAGUCAUGGUUAAGUGGGAAACGAUGUGGGAAGGCACAGACAGCCAGGAUGUUGGCUUAGAAGCAGCCAUCAUUUAAAGAAAGCGUAAUAGCUCACUGGUCGAGUCGGCCUGCGCGGAAGAUGUAACGGGGCUAAACCAUGCACCGAAGCUGCGGCAGCGACACUAUGUGUUGUUGGGUAGGGGAGCGUUCUGUAAGCCUGCGAAGGUGACCUGUGAGGGUUGCUGGAGGUAUCAGAAGUGCGAAUGCUGACAUAAGUAACGAUAAAGCGGGUGAAAAGCCCGCUCGCCGGAAGACCAAGGGUUCCUGUCCAACGUUAAUCGGGGCAGGGUGAGUCGACCCCUAAGGCGAGGCCGAAAGGCGUAGUCGAUGGGAAACAGGUUAAUAUUCCUGUACUUGGUGUUACUGCGAAGGGGGGACGGAGAAGGCUAUGUUAGCCGGGCGACGGUUGUCCCGGUUUAAGCAUGUAGGCUG
rnacentral:rRNA from 2 species